AAGCUUGCUUCCACUGAGAAGAUAGUGGCGAACGGGUGAGUAACACGUGGGGUAAACCCUGCCCCAUAAAGAGGGGGGAUAACAUCCGGAAACGGGUGCUAAUACCGCAUAGUUUUCUUGAUCGCAUGAUCGGGAAAGGAAAGACGGCCUUUGUGCUGUCGCUUAUGGAUGGACCCGCGGCGUAUUAGUUAGUUGGUGAGGUAACGGCUCACCAAGACGAUGAUACGUAGCCGACCUGAGAGGGUGAUCGGCCACAUUGGGACUGAGACACGGCCCAAACUCCUACGGGAGGCAGCAGUAGGGAAUCUUCCGCAAUGGACGAAAGUCUGACGGAGCAACGCCGCGUGAGUGAAGAAAAGGUUUUCGGAUCGUAAAACUCUGUUGUCAGAGAAGAACAAGUUGGAGAGUAACUGCUCCAGCCUUGACGGUAUCUGACCAGAAAGCCACGGCUAACUACGUGCCAGCAGCCGC
rnacentral:rRNA from 1 species